rnacentral:tRNA from 1 species
UUAAUUGAAGCCAAAAAGAGGCGUAUCACUGUUAAUGAUAUAACUGAGGCCAAUCUCCAAUUAAG